rnacentral:rRNA from 1 species
GACGAACGCUGGCGGCGUGCUUAACACAUGCAAGUCGAACGGAAAGGCCCUGCUUUUGUGGGGUGCUCGAGUGGCGAACGGGUGAGUAACACGUGAGUAACCUGCCCUUGACUUUGGGAUAACUUCAGGAAACUGGGGCUAAUACCGGAUAGGAGCUCCUGCUGCAUGGUGGGGGUUGGAAAGUUUCGGCGGUUGGGGAUGGACUCGCGGCUUAUCAGCUUGUUGGUGGGGUAGUGGCUUACCAAGGCUUUGACGGGUAGCCGGCCUGAGAGGGUGACCGGCCACAUUGGGACUGAGAUACGGCCCAGACUCCUACGGGAGGCAGCAGUGGGGAAUAUUGCACAAUGGGCGGAAGCCUGAUGCAGCAACGCCGCGUGCGGGAUGAAGGCCUUCGGGUUGUAAACCGCUUUAGCCUGUGACGAAGCGUGAGUGACGGUAAUGGGUAAAGAAGCACCGGCUAACUACGUG